AGUGAACGCUGGCGGUAGGCCUAACACAUGCAAGUCGAACGGCAGCACAGAAGAGCUUGCUCUUUGGGUGGCGAGUGGCGGACGGGUGAGUAAUGUCUGGGAAACUGCCCGAUGGAGGGGGAUAACUACUGGAAACGGUAGCUAAUACCGCAUAACGUCGCAAGACCAAAGUGGGGGACCUUCGGGCCUCACACCAUCGGAUGUGCCCAGAUGGGAUUAGCUAGUAGGUGGGGUAAUGGCUCACCUAGGCGACGAUCCCUAGCUGGUCUGAGAGGAUGACCAGCCACACCGGAACUGAGACACGGUCCAGACUCCUACGGGAGGCAGCAGUGGGGAAUAUUGCACAAUGGGCGCAAGCCUGAUGCAGCCAUGCCGCGUGUAUGAAGAAGGCCUUCGGGUUGUAAAGUACUUUCAGCGGGGAGGAAGGCGGUGAGGUUAAUAACCUUGCCGAUUGACGUUACCCGCAGAAGAAGCACCGGCUAACUCCGUGCCAGCAGCCGCCGUAA
rnacentral:rRNA from 1 species